UCGACAUCUCCACUGGUAUAGCCUACUAC
rnacentral:piRNA from 1 species